UACGAAGGGGGCUAGCGUUGCUCGGAAUCACUGGGCGUAAAGCGCACGUAGGCGGCUUUUUAAGUCAGAGGUGAAAUCCUGGAGCUCAACUCCAGAACUGCCUUUGAUACUGGAGAGCUUGAGUCCGGGAGAGGUGAGUGGAACUGCGAGUGUAGAGGUGAAAUUCGUAGAUAUUCGCAAGAACACCAGUGGCGAAGGCGGCUCACUGGCCCGAUACUGACGCUGAUGCACGAAAGCGUGGGGAGCAAACAGG
rnacentral:rRNA from 1 species